GACUGGGUAGCUCAGUUGGUUGAGCAUCUGACUUCAGCUCAGGUCAUGAUCUUUCAGUUUGUGAGUUCAAACCCCAUAUCAGGCU
rnacentral:tRNA from 1 species